rnacentral:tRNA from 2 species
UGGACGGGUGGCCGAGUGGCUUAAGGCGCACGAUUGGAAAUCGUGUGGGCUAACGCCCGCGUGGGUUCGAAUCCCACCCCGUCCGU